UACGUAGGGGGCAAGCGUUGUCCGGAUUUAUUGGGCGUAAAGAGCGUGUAGGCGGCUAGGUAGGUCCGUUGUGAAAACUCGAGGCUCAACCUCGAGACGUCGAUGGAAACCAUCUAGCUAGAGUCCGGAAGAGGAGUGUGGAAUUCCUGGUGUAGCGGUGAAAUGCGCAGAUAUCAGGAGGAACACCAAUGGCGAAGGCAGCACUCUGGGACGUGACUGACGCUGAGACGCGAAAGCGUGGGGAGCAAACCGG
rnacentral:rRNA from 1 species